UGGAAGGAGAAGUCGUAACAAGGUUUCCGUAGGUGAACCUGCGGAAGGAUCAUUGUCGAAACUUGUCUAGUAGAUUGACUUGGGAACUUGUGCAAAUAAAAUUUAAUUCAUGCUUGUUGUGGUUUUGCUUUUUUGCGCUAUCAUGACUAACAACAAAUCCCCGGCGCGGGUUGCGCCAAGUAUUACCAAAUUGAGAUUGUUACCCCAUGCUGCGUGUGUAGUUGUGUGGGAACUAUAUCAUCUUUUUCAACAAAUGACUUUCGGCAACGGAUAUCUCGGCUCUCGCAUCGAUGAAGAAUGUAGCGAAAUGCGAUACUUGGUGUGAAUUGCAGAAUCCCGUGAACCAUCGAGUCUUUGAACGCAAGUUGCACCCAAAGCCAACAGGCUGAGGGCACGUCUGUCUGGGUGUCACGCAACCCGUAGCCCCUAUCCUUACGGGGCGGAUAUUGGCCUCCUGUCCCUUGCUUAUGGUGCAGCAGGUCCAAAUGCUUGUGAUUGGGGAUGGUUUCUGGCGAUUGGUGGUUGUACGUAUAGUGCAAAACAUCGUCCCAUGUGCCAUUGUUUGUCAAUAUAAGACCCGUUAGAGGCAGUGUAUUAUGCUUUAUAAAUUGCGAUCCCAGGUCAGUCGGGACUACCCGCUGAGUUUAAGCAUAUCAAUAAGCGGAGGA
rnacentral:rRNA from 1 species